ACGCUGGCGGCGUGCCUAAUACAUGCAAGUAGAACGCUGAAGAGAGGAGCUUGCUCUUCUUGGAUGAGUUGCGAACGGGUGAGUAACGCGUAGGUAACCCGCCUUGUAGCGGGGGAUAACUAUUGGAAACGAUAGCUAAUACCGCAUAACAAUGGAUGACACAUGUCAUUUAUUUGAAAGGGGCAAUUGCUCCACUACAAGAUGGACCUGCGUUGUAUUAGCUAGUAGGUGAGGUAACGGCUCACCUAGGCGACGAUACAUAGCCGACCUGAGAGGGUGAUCGGCCACACUGGGACUGAGACACGGCCCAGACUCCUACGGGAGGCAGCAGUAGGGAAUCUUCGGCAAUGGGGGCAACCCUGACCGAGCAACGCCGCGUGAGUGAAGAAGGUUUUCGGAUCGUAAAGCUCUGUUGUAAGUCAAGAACGAGUGUGAGAGUGGAAAGUUCACACUGUGACGGUAGCUUACCAGAAAGGGACGGCUAACUACGUGCCAGCAGCCGCGGUAAUACGUAGGUCCCGAGCGUUGUCCGGAUUUAUUGGGCGUAAAGCGAGCGCAGGCGGUUUGAUAAGUCUGAAGUUAAAGGCUGUGGCUUAACCAUAGUUCGCUUUGGAAACUGUUUAACUUGAGUGCAAGAGGGGAGAGUGGAAUUCCAUGUGUAGCGGUGAAAUGCGUAGAUAUAUGGAGGAACACCGGUGGCGAAAGCGGCUCUCUGGUCUGUAACUGACGCUGAGGCUCGAAAGCGUGGGGAGCGAACAGGAUUAGAUACCCUGGUAGUCCACGCCGUAAACGAUGAGUGCUAGGUGUUGGAUCCUUUCCGGGAUUCAGUGCCGCAGCUAACGCAUUAAGCACUCCGCCUGGGGAGUACGACCGCAAGGUUGAAACUCAAAGGAAUUGACGGGGGCCCGCA
rnacentral:rRNA from 1 species